AUGAACGCUAGCGACAGGCUUAACACAUGCAAGUCGAGGGGCAGCAUAAAAGUAGCAAUACUUGGUGGCGACCGGCGCACGGGUGAGUAACGCGUAUGCAACCUACCUAUCAGAGGGGAAUAACCCGGCGAAAGUCGGACUAAUACCGCAUAAAACAGGGGCACCGCAUGGUGAUAUUUGUUAAAGAAAUUCGCUGAUAGAUGGGCAUGCGUUCCAUUAGGUAGUUGGUGAGGUAACGGCUCACCAAGCCGACGAUGGAUAGGGGAACUGAGAGGUUGGUCCCCCACACUGGUACUGAGACACGGACCAGACUCCUACGGGAGGCAGCAGUGAGGAAUAUUGGUCAAUGGGCGGGAGCCUGAACCAGCCAAGUCGCGUGAAAGGAAGAAGGAUCUAUGGUUCGUAAACUUCUUUUGCAGGGGAAUAAAGUGCAGGACGUGUCCUGUUUUGUAUGUACCCUGAGAAUAAGGAUCGGCUAACUCCGUGCCAGCAGCCGC
rnacentral:rRNA from 1 species